rnacentral:misc_RNA from 1 species
AACGCAUAUUGCGCUCUCUGGUAUUCCGGGGAGCAUACUUGUCUGAGGGUCGGUAAAUCCAAAUCCUCAAUUUUUUUUGGGGGUCGAUGGGCGCAUCCGUUAGCCAUUAUUUUUGGAUAUCGGUCGCCUGAAAUAAUAUAGCUUCCGCGACAGCAGCGGAUCGCGUAGUAAGUGUUUUUUACAAAUGCAUCUCGCGAUUAAGCGGUGGCGGUAAGUUAAAGCAUUUGCUAGGGACGUUUUGUUGCGUUUCCUACCUUUUUUUGUCUCGACCUCAGAUCAAGUAAGAGCACCCGCUGAACUUAA